ensembl:lncRNA
CGGAGAUAGAAGACCUGCCUGGCUGGGUCUCAAAUGAGUCAGGACAGACUUCCACCUGUAACUGAGCCUCGUCCCUGACUGUCACCUCAGAAAUGAAGGAAGGUGGGCGUUUCGGGUGGGGAGAAGUGGCAGGCAGGAGUGGCUGCAGAGCUGACCGUGAGGGACACUCCUUUCUCUGUCCUCUCCUGCUAGGAUGGGGCAGAGGACAGUCCACUACCCACUGCCCCGGGCGCGGAGCUCUCCUCACAACAGCCCUACCACCAGCCACUCUAGGGCUAAUGGAGACUGAUUUUAGGCAGAGGAAGACGGACCCUUCCAGAUGUUUCUGGCCUCCUCCUCUCCUGGGCCUCUUCCUCUCGUUCCUGGCAUGUCUUAAUCCUCCUGGUGGAAGUCUCCCACCUUUCAGGAGGACCUGUUCACCAGGACCCCUCAUCUCCGUGUCGUCUACACCUUCCACGGUGAAGGACACGCUCUCAGCCCUGUGUGGUGUCUUGAACGUGUGCACCUGUAUAACGUCUUCCACAGAAUUUGGUGAGCAAUUGAUUCUGGAAGAAACACGGUGGAGAUCUUCCCCAAGACUGGGGUGCUCAGAGGGAGCCCUCCCGUGGAGCUCAGCUCACAGCACCAGGCUAACUCAGGUUUCUGGGGCGGCGGCCUGUCCCGCCUCAGCCUGCCGGGGACGCCAUGUGGACGCCACGCUGCUCGACUGGCACAGAGGGACCGCAGGCGCCCGGUUCUCGGGCCUCUGAGGCUGGAGCCAGGGUUAGUGCCACUGUCUGGUUCAUCAAACGCUGCAGAGGCCGUGAGGAAGGCUGGCUUUCUCCAGCAAACCCCAUGCUCCCUUGUUCACUGUGAGACCUGGCAGCUGUCUGGAUUUACUUCUCACAAAUCACUUGUUCUACUUUCUGUAUCUUAUCAGAGGGGAAAUUGUGGAAUAAAACCUUUCAGGAUCUAGGAUGCUGGCGGCUGACUGGAUCUGGGAAGGCCCUCCUGGUACCUGGCCCUGCCUGCCUGUUCAGUCUAUGGGCCGGCCAAGCUGUAACACCACUAUGAACAGGAGUGGAAACAUGGGGGAGCAUCAGGUCACACCCCGACACUUGUCACAUGUCGGCUUCAUCAAAUGUGACAUUUACUUCGUGGGUGAGUUUUAUCCAGAUGUUCCUAUCCGUGAUUUUCUCAUUAGUUCUUGACCUGCCUUAUUGGAAGGGGAAGACGGGCAGAUGACCAGGCUGCUCGUGUUGCUUCAUUGGGUCGGGACGGCAGUUGUUCCGUUGGCCAUUCCUAGUAGUGUCACCCUGGCUCUUACGUUCUUGACCUAAAGAACUCCCGCUGGAAUACACGAAACUCCACCGGAAAGAGAGGUGACACAUGUCAAGUGCAUUUUGUGACACUGGUAGUUCUCCGCUCUUUAAGAAAAAUAUAAACACUGUGGUAUACUGGGCCUGCAAUUUAUACUUCUGAAGCCAGAUCAUAUCUGUGACCUCUUUUAACAUGAAAAGGAAGAAAAUCAAUAGGUGCAAAGAUGUGUGACCAUGAGAGCUGAUAAGCUAAUGUGCGCUUCCCUGAGCCUACGAUUUUCUGUCACUCCUGGUUCACAGAACUCACUCUGCACGUGUGCAACCCAGGGGGAGCCCUGUGCACCCGCCUCACCACCCUGCCUGUGAUGGAUGCGGCGCCUGGCAUCUGGGAAAGGUUACCGCGUUGAGAGAGCAUCGCAGCCGCCAUUCUUUCCUCCGUGUUCUCUGUUUGCAUCGUUGGGGUGAAGAAGCAGCUGCAGCAGCCCCAUAGCCUGGGGUAGGACGCAGUUCUGUGUUGGUCACUCGUGUUCAGCCUGCACACGGGGCUCAGAGCCUGGACUCGUGCUCCCUCGCCAGAACCAAGGGCUUUCCCGGGAGAGUGGAGUCAGCGUGAACGCCUGACAGAUGCUCUGAGCGCUGAGUGGAAAGACUUCUGCACUUGUGACACGUAUUUAUAGGAGUUACGUUAAAAUCCUUCUCACACAAUUCCAACCUCUGGCUUAUCUGGUAUCGUUACCCAUUGAUUGUCUUUUAUCAUUCAAGUUGUGAUUACUUUGACUCUUUGUAUGAUAAAUGAUUUUGGAGUGAAGCCGGACAUUUUGGGUAUUAUAUUGAGACUUUGGGUCCUUUUUAAUCUCCCUUUUGUUUUUGGGUAAGGAAGGUUGGCCCUGAGCUAACAUCUGUUGCCAAUCCUCCUGUUUUUGCUUGAAGAAGAUUGUCACUGAGCUAACAUCUGUGCCAGUCUUCCUCUAUUUUGUGUGUGGGAUGCUGCUGCAGUAAGGCUGAUGAGCAGUGUGUAGGUCCAUGCCUAGGAUCUGAA